rnacentral:rRNA from 1 species
CCUACGGGAGGCAGCAGUAGGGAAUCUUCCACAAUGGGCGAAAGCCUGAUGGAGCAACGCCGCGUGGGUGAAGAAGGUCUUCGGAUCGUAAAACUCUGUUGUUAGAGAAGAAAGUGCGUGAGAGUAACUGUUCACGUUUCGACGGUAUCUAACCAGAAAGCCACGGCUAACUACGUGCCAGCAGCCGCGGUAAUACGUAGGUGGCAAGCGUUAUCCGGAUUUAUUGGGCGUAAAGGGAACGCAGGCGGUCUUUUAAGUCUGAUGUGAAAGCCUUCGGCUUAACCGGAGUAGUGCAUUGGAAACUGGGGGACUUGAGUGCAGAAGAGGAGAGUGGAACUCCAUGUGUAGCGGUGAAAUGCGUAGAUAUAUGGAAGAACACCAGUGGCGAAAGCGGCUGUCUGGGCUGUAACUGACGCUGAGGUUCGAAAGCGUGGGUAGCAAACAGGAUUAGAUACCCCUGUAGUC